rnacentral:rRNA from 1 species
AUACGUAGGGGGCGAGCGUUGUCCGGAAUGAUUGGGCGUAAAGGGCGCGUAGGCGGCCCGGUAAGUCUGGAGUGAAAGUCCUGUUUUUAAGAUGGGAAUUGCUUUGGAUACUGUCGGGCUUGAGUGCAGGAGAGGUAAGUGGAAUUCCCAGUGUAGCGGUGAACUGCGUAGAGAUUGGGAGGAACACCAGUGGCGAAGGCGACUUACUGGACUGUAACUGACGCUGAGGCGCGAAAGUGUGGGGAGCAAACAGGAUUAGAUACCCUGGUAGUCCACACUGUAAACGAUGAAUGCUAGGUGUAGGGGGUAUCGACCCCUUCUGUGCCGCAGUCAACACAAUAAGCAUUCCGCCUGGGGAGUACGGCCGCAAGGUUGAAACUCAAAGGAAUUGACGGGG